rnacentral:rRNA from 1 species
UACGAAGGGGGCUAGCGUUGCUCGGAAUCACUGGGCGUAAAGGGUGCGUAGGCGGGUCUUUUAAGUCAGGGGUGAAAUCCUGGAGCUCAACUCCAGAACUGCCUUUGAUACUGGGGAUCUCGAGUCCGGAAGAGGUGAGUGGAACUCCGAGUGUAGAGGUGAAAUUCGUAGAUAUUCGGAAGAACACCAGUGGCGAAGGCGGCUCACUGGUCCGGUACUGACGCUGAGGUGCGAAAGCGUGGGGAGCAAACAGG